rnacentral:lncRNA from 1 species
UUUGGAAAAAAAAAAAUAGUGAAGUUGCAGUUGUAGCUGAAGCAGUGUGGCUCCAGUGUCCACAUUAUUUACCAUAUGCUACAUUUUCUCUCUAAGAAUGUCUCAGAUCUUAUAGGUACAUGCUCGGUGAUAGACUUAUAGUCACUAUUUACUGUAAUCAUGAAAUCCCAUUUCCCACUGACUACCAUUUUUCAGUAAGAGUCAUGAGCUUGGAAAUUUUUAUUUAAUUAUAAAUUUAUAAAAAAUGAAAAAAAAUGUUAGCAGAAUACCAUAAAGGAGAAGUACAUUCAUAGUUCUGCAGAUAGUUGACUAGAAAGGAGUCUGAAUUUCUCAAAUGUAAUCCUAUUGUUUUCCAGUGAGCAAACUGAGAUAAGACUUGUAAAUGCGUUCAGAAAAUGACCCAAAUCCAUGCCUUUUUACACUGAACAUGGAAUUUCUACUAGAACAUGCUUCAUUUUGGAAUCUGUCACGCCUGGAUUCAUAGGGUUUCAAUCCUGACUUAUUUUCAUCAAACUAGGCAGUCAUCUUCUAGGACCAAAGAAAAAACUGUAGAAGCCUGGAUUUGGAACAAGUGACCAAGGAGGAAAUAGAAAACCAAGGUAACACAUUUACAAAAAAUUUUUCACUGCUAUUAUGAUAGGGAUAAAAUAGAUUUUGUUUGAAUGAGUUAUACAUCUUUUGUAAGAAGUAGGUUUUAUCACUUAAUCUCAAGCGUUUUAUGCCAGAACCUCCAAGAAUAAGACAACUUACACAUUUUCUUCAUUUUAUAGUAUAAUAAUAGAAUAAAUACAAUGGCAAUAAUUUUCCCUAAAUUUUUAAUUAGAAUUGUUUAAUGACAUAUUGAAAUACAGAAAAUGCAUAGCACAACAAAACAAUAUAACGUGACUAUAUUUAUUAUUUAUAAUGGCUUCAUUUAGAUUGUUUUAUGUAAUUUAGAGAAUGCAACAAUUAUUUAUCUUAUAUCUUAAUACAUUGAUAAUAAUAGUAAGGAUUACUAUAGUUCUUUAUAUUUUUUUACCUUGUAUAUAGUAUUUUUAAAUGUCCUGGUUCUGUGCUGAUGUUUUAUUUGUGUUGUUAUUUUUUAUUGUGGUAAAAUAUACAUAACACAUUGUUGUGCAACUAUCAUCACUGCCCAUCUCCAAAACCUUUUCAUCAUCCUAAACUGAAACUCCAUACCCAUGAAACAAUAAUUUUUUCUUACCCCUUCCCCUUAGCUCCUGGUAUCCACUGUUGUACAUUCCGUGUCUAUGAAUAUGACGAUUCUAGGUGUCUUGUAAACGUGAGAUCAUAACGUAUUUGUCAUUUUGUGUCUGGCUUAGUAUGUCUUCAAGGUUCACCCAUGUUAUAGCAUUAUCACAGUUCCAUUGCUUUUUUUUUUAAGGUUGAAUGAUAUCCCCUUGUAUGUAUAUACUACAGUUCGUUUAUUCAUUCAUUAAUUGAUGGGCAUUUAAGUUGUUUCCAUUUUUGGCUAUUGUAAAUAAUUCUGCUACGAACAUCAGUGUCCAAAUAUUUUUUUCAGUCUGUGAUUUCUAUUCUUUUGUGCAUAUGCCCCAAAUAACAUUGACAUUACCAUGUGAAAAUUCACCAUCUGUCUUUCUCCAUAGCUCUUUGACAUGUAUCAUUAAAAUUAAUUUAUUCUGAAGUACCUUUUUGUAGAUUAGGGGAUCAAUUGGGUACAAAACAGGAUGUGUCCAGUUUUACUCACUACGAUUUUAAAACUCUAAAAAUAGGGACAUAUUCACGUAAUUAACUCAGGCAGAAAUUGAUGUUGGCAUUUUCCCUAAGUUUCUAUAGAUCUUGUACCUAAGAAAUUUAUAACCUCUUUUUCCAUGGACACGAAAUUACUCUUUCUAUUAAGGUGUAUGUGUAGGUGCAUAAAUUUACCUAGUAGCUAGAUUUUUCAGAAUACAAGUUUUUAUAUUUUGUAAAAAUUGUUACUGUGGAAUACCUAUCAUGGAUUCACAU